rnacentral:rRNA from 1 species
UACGGAGGGUGCAAGCGUUAUCCGGAUUUACUGGGUUUAAAGGGUGCGUAGGUGGAUAAUUAAGUCAGUGGUGAAAUCUUCAGGCUUAACCUGGAAACUGCCAUUAAUACUAUUUAUCUUGAAUACUUUGGAGGUAAGCGGAAUAUGUCAUGUAGCGGUGAAAUGCUUAGAUAUGACAUAGAACACCAAUUGCGAAGGCAGCUUACUACACAGUAAUUGACACUGAGGCACGAAAGCGUGGGGAUCAAACAGG